UCGUGCUAGAUGGGGAGGUAGCGGUUCCCUGUAACCUGCAAUCCGCUAUAGCAGGGUUGAAUUCCUGCCUGAGGCUUUAGAAAAUAUAGUCUGCCCAUGACAAGUAGUGUUGAUGAUAGGGUCCUGUGCAAUAGGAACUUGUGAACCCCGCCAGGUCCGGAAGGAAGCAACGGUAAGCAAUAAUUUCUAUGUGACAUGGGAGUGCCUUAUCUGAGCUAACUAUCAUGGUAACGUAUGGGUUUUACUGUCGAAGGUAGGUGCACGG
rnacentral:SRP_RNA from 1 species